GACGAACGCUGGCGGCGUGCUUAACACAUGCAAGUCGAACGGAAAGGCCCUGCUUUUGUGGUGUGCUCGAGUGGCGAACGGGUGAGUAACACGUGAGUAACCUGCUCUUGAUUUUGGGAUAACUUCAGGAAACUGGGGCUAAUACCGGAUAGGAGCUCCUGCUGCAUGGUGGGGGUUGGAUAGUUUCGGCGGUUGGGGAUGGACUGGCGGCUUAUCAGCUUGUUGGUGGGGUAGUGGCUUACGAAGGCUUUGACGGGUAGCCGGCCUGGGAGGGUGACCGGCCACAUGGGGACUGAGAUACGGCCCAGACUCCUACGGGAGGCAGCAGUGGGGAAUAUGGCACAAUGGGCGGAAGCCUGAUGCAGCACCGCCGCGGGCGGGAUGACGGCCUUCGGGUUGUAAACCGCUUUCGCCUGUGACGAAGCGUGUGUGACGGUAAUGAGUAAAGAAGCACCGGCUAACUACGUG
rnacentral:rRNA from 1 species